CUUAUGUUGUGUAGUUGAUGAGAAAAAUAAACAGUCUGCAACCUUUUGGUCAUGUCUUCAGGACAUACAAGAGGGGCUUCAGGAACUUACAAUCUGAGGACACAUGGAGUGGUUGUGAGAUGGCUUCAUGGUGCCCUUUUGGUCACAGCGCCCUUUUGGUCACAGGAACAAGUCAAAUGAUGCAAGAAUUGGAUGAAGUGCACGUGCUUCCUUUUGAUGCCUUAUCUGUUAAUUGCAUUUGUGAACUUGUAACUUGUUUGAUCUCUCUUUAAUUAUUGGUGGACCAAUGAAACCAUGUGAACUUGUAAUAUUUUGUGGUGGGCUGGUGGCACGUGAACUUGUAAUGGACUACGUGCUUAGGAAGUUAGGAGGUUGCACCUGGAACUUAUUUGCUGCAUGCCUGCAUGUUACAUGCUGAUGCAGAGAUGCUACUGUUGAAUUUAAGCUUGCUGGAAUGAGCCAAUGAGCCAUCUGCCUUA